rnacentral:rRNA from 1 species
CCCUUAGAUGUCCUGGGCCGCACGCGCGUUACACUGAUGCAUUCAACGAGCUUAUAACCUUGGCCGAGAGGCCUGGGCAAUCUUGUUAACGUGCAUCGUGAUAGAGAUAGAUUAUUGAAAUUAUUAAUCUUGAACGAGGAAUUCCUAGUAAACGCAGAUCAUCAAUCUGCAUUGAUUACGUCCCUGCCCUUUGUACACACCGCCCGUCGCACCUACCGAUUGGAUGGUCCGGUGAAGCCUCGGGAUUGUGGUUCUUGCCGCUUUAUUGUAGCGUGACCGCGAGAACUUGUCUAAACCUUAUCAUCUAGAGGAAGGUGAAGUCGUAACA